rnacentral:rRNA from 1 species
GAUGAACGCUGACAGAAUGCUUAACACAUGCAAGUCUACUUGAAUUUGGGUUUUUUAACUUCGAUUUGGGUGGCGGACGGGUGAGUAACGCGUAAAGAACUUGCCUCACAGCUAGGGACAACAUUUGGAAACGAAUGCUAAUACCUGAUAUUAUGAUUAUAGGGCAUCCUAGAAUUAUGAAAGCUAUAUGCGCUGUGAGAGAGCUUUGCGUCCCAUUAGCUAGUUGGAGAGGUAACGGCUCACCAAGGCGAUGAUGGGUAGCCGGCCUGAGAGGGUGAACGGCCACAAGGGGACUGAGACACGGCCCUUACUCCUACGGGAGGCAGCAGUGGGGAAUAUUGGACAAUGGACCGAGAGUCUGAUCCAGCAAUUCUGUGUGCACGAUGACGUUUUUCGGAAUGUAAAGUGCUUUCAGUUGGGAAGAAAAAAAUGACGGUACCAACAGAAGAAGUGACGGCUAAAUACGUGCCAGCAGCCGCGGGUAAUACGUAUGUCACGAGCGUUAUCCGGAUUUAUUGGGCGUAAGGCGCGUCUAGGUGGUUAUGUAAGUCUGAUGUGAAAAUGCAGGGCUCAACUCUGUAUUGCGUUGGAAACUGUGUAACUAGAGUACUGGAGAGGUAAGCGGAACUACAAGUGUAGAGGUGAAAUUCGUAGAUAUUUGUAGGGAAUGCCGAUGGGGAAGCCAGCUUACUGGACAGAUACUGACGCUGAAGCGCGAAAGCGUGGGUAGCAAACAGG